GCCCCCAUAGCUUAAUGGAUAGAGCAUUGCGUUGCGGACGCAAAGGUUAGAGGUUCGAGUCCUCUUGGGGGCACCA
rnacentral:tRNA from 2 species